rnacentral:rRNA from 1 species
GACGGAGGAUGCAAGUGUUAUCCGGAAUCACUGGGCGUAAAGCGUCUGUAGGUGGUUUAAAAAGUCCACUGUUAAAGAUUGAAGCUUAACUUCAAAAAUGCCGUGGAAACUUUUAAACUUGAGUAUGAUAGGGGUAGAGGGAAUUUCCAGUGGAGCGGUGAAAUGCGUAGAUAUUGGAAAGACCACCAAUGGCGAAGGCACUCUACUGGGCCAUUACUGACGCUGAUGCUCGAAAGCGUGGGGAGCAAACAGG